UUUCUUCACUUUUCUGAAUCUCAGUUUCCUCAUCUGCGAAGUGGGGAUAAUAUCUACCUUAUGGGGUUGCUGUAAAGAUUCAAUGAGGAUUAAUUCACCGAAGAGCUUAGAACAAACAGCACCUGGCAUAUGAAUGUGAGAUUGUUAAGGGCAUCUUGGGGACCCCCCUAGAACCCAGCCCAGUGCCAGGCAAGAUGGAAGUGCUGAGAGAACGCUGGCUGCUGAGCAGAAGGCCAGGUGUCAUUCUUCUCUCAUACAAUAAGCCUCUCUGUCACAACUCCCAUGGGGAGAAUCCCCCCAAAGGUGUGCUGCAGACCAAAGCCUGGAAAUAUGGAUUCAUAAGUCCCCCUUUCCAGAGGGACUCGAUCCGUCCGUGCCAUGGAUUAUAGAUUUCAGCGGGAACCCCUAUUCUUCCUGAAAUCACAGCCCUUGAGGAAUAACCACUCCUCUUCCUGGACUAUUAAAGGGGAUUAGGCCUCUGCAGACAAUUACAAGCCAGAGAAACACCCAGUAGACCACAGAGCUUUCUGCUUCCGGAACCUUCCAUUAAUUCUUGGAUCCAGGCCACCUUAGUCAGCAACAGGCCAGGAGACUCGGCAGUGAAGACAACUUGCUUUCAGCCCUCUUGCGGGAAUGGGAGAGCGGGAACCUGUGAUGACGUCAGGUUCCUGGAAACCACCAUCAGAGACUUUCUGUCUCUGAUCUGACUACUCUAGGGACCUCAUCUUCUCCGGAUUGAAAACCAUUGGUCUAGGCCAGGGGUCGGCAAACUGCAGCUCUUUGGCUGAUGGUUUUGAAGUUGGAGUCCCUUGCAUUUCUUUUCAAGUAAGUUUCUUUUUUCUUUUCUAAAUGUUUCCGCUUUUGAGUCUUUCUUUGACAAAAAUAAUAAGGAUAUAAUUUUAUCAUUAUUUUAUAAUUAGGAUAACAGUUAUUGAGCAUUUAUUAUGUGCCAGACACUGUGUUAAAUCCUUUUCAAGGAUUAUCUCAUUAGUCUUUGUAACAACUCUUUGAGGCAGAUGUUCUUGUUUCCAUUUUGCUGAUGGGAAAAUUGAAGCAUGGCGAAAUUAAAGCAAUUUGCCCAAAGUCACAUAUCUAGUUUGAUAAAGUGUGUGUGUGUGUGUGUGUGUGUGUGUGUGUGUGUUGUUAUUGUUUUCUUUUUCUCUGUGUUCCAAAAAUAUGAAUUCCAUCAUACUGUACUUGUCCUGCAACUUACUUUUUUCCAGUUAAUAUAGGAUGGACAACUUUCCAAGCUGAUGCUUCCAGCUAAUUAUUUCAAGCUCAUUUAUACAUCCCUUCCCUGGAUGGACACGCGAUACUCAAAUACCCACUGAAGGAAGGUGGGGCAGGAACCAGAAAUGAGGACGACUGUUUCUAUACUCAACCUCAAGAUGGCUGCGGCGGGAGUAGCAAGAGUUUGUCACGAGGUUGUGCAGCUAAGACACCUCACUACCUAUCAGAAGGUACAGGCAAUCGUGGCAUCCACAUUUCCAAGGUGAGCCCCAGAAUAACCCCAUGAACACCAGUGGGUCUAAUGUACUAGGAAUUCGCAACACUUUAUACCAAAUGGUAAAGCUGUUCCACUGCCCUGAACCAGGAAAAUAUGGAAAGCGUUUCAUCCUUUCCCUCUGGUCUUUAGAGCAGAACUCUUGCUUGCAUCUCACCUGGUACCGGAUGAGACAGUGUCACCUAGGGGAUGGCUACCAGGUGCAGACCUCGAAUGAAACUCUGCAAAGUUAUACUUUUUAUAUCGUCCAAACGUUGGUGCUUCCCAACCCUGGCUGCAUCUUAGAAUUACUUGGAGGGGCUUAAAAAUUUUCUUUGCCCAAGCGCCAUCCCAGACCUGGGGAUGGGACUCCAGCAUCAGUAUUUUUUAAAUCUGAUCCCAGGUUGAGGAGAAUUGAGAACCAUUCAAUUCUGGAUGAAUAGCCAUUCAUUCAUUCAUUCAUUCAUUCAAAACCUAUUUAUUGAGCACCCAUUAUGUGCCAGGCACUGCUGCCUGCCCUCAUGGCGCUUACAUCCUGGUGGAGAUGGAAAAUAAUUAAACAUGCUAAUAAAAAAGAUGAUUACAGAAUAUUAUCCAGGCAAGAAAAACGGGGUGUUGGCGGGGAGCUCUCGCUGGGGUCAGGGCAGGUAGGCUGGGACCUGAAGGCUUGAGAAGGCGCCAGGCCUGCAAAGAACAGGGAGGAAGAUAACAGCAAGUGCAAAGGUCCAGAGUUGCGAAAUAACUUUUUGUUGAAGGUAUUCAAGAAAAUUCAGCAUAACUAAAAUGUAGGAGGGAAAGCGGGGAAGGGGGAGACAGAGAGAAAGAGAGAGAGAGAGAGGGAGAAAGAGAACUAGAUAUGAGAUGAGGCUAGAAGUGAAGCCAGGGGCUAUGUUAGUUAUAAUAAUAAAUUAUGUUAAAAUGUAUCACCCAUUUUACAGAUGAGAAAACUGACACUCAGAGAAAAGGAAGCAAAUGUUUCUGCUUUCAAAGGCAACUCUCUAAUGAGGCUACAAACUUAUGCAAAAGAUACUGAGUUCAAAGGCCCUCACAAUACCUACUUCAUUACGUCCCAAAGACCCUAAGAGCUAGAUUUAAUGCACUGUUGAUAUUCCAGCACCGGGUAGCUGACUUGACUCUAACUGAAUAAAAAUUUGGCCACUGGUAAAGAAUAUAGGGCAAAUGGUAUCUUUAAGCUGUGCCGCUGAUCUCCCUGACAAAAAUUCAUGCAUUUUCUUUGUUUUUCCCUACCACCCAAAGUGCUCAGAAUUUCCAUAGUCACACUCAAAGAGAAUUAGUCCCAAACACAAAAUAAUAACAAUGGAAGAUUGUCAGUUAUUUUUUAUUUUGGCUUCCUGCUCAUUAUGGAUUGAAUGAGUUAAUACACAUAAAGUGCUUAGAGCAGUGCUUGGGAAAUCAUAUCAGUAAGCAUUAGCUAUUCUACUGAUAAUAUUAUUAUGUCAUAUGCUGAUUGAUGCAGAUGAAAACAAAUGAGCUAUUAAAUAGGCUUCGAUAUGUUCCACAUUCCCCUUGCCCGAUUUUCUCUCCCUUAGGACUGCACCCAGUGUUUAGGAAAAAGAUCUCAAUAAAAGCCAAGAGUUCUGCCAUUAGGUCCCCCUUUUCCUUGGUAUGGAACAGAAGGCACGUUUCUGUUCCCUGGAUGGUAACACAGUGAAACCUUAACAGCCAGUGACACCUUUGUGGGAAGGAGCUUUUCUGGAAAGCUCCUGAUACCUGAUAACGCCCCAUGGGAAAAGAGGAUAAAGUCACUUGUGUGGGUGGAUGGGAUGAGAGCCCCGAGUGGCCUCUGAUGAAAACCAGUCCUUGGCUCUUUUUCUCUUGUUUUUAAAAUUUUUUUUUACUGGGGAGCAGUGUGCUCCAUCAGCUCCAGGUCAAGU